UACGGGGGGGGCAAGCGUUGUUCGGAAUUACUGGGCGUAAAGGGCGCGUAGGCGGCCUUCUAAGUCAGACGUGAAAUCCCUCGGCUCAACCGAGGAACUGCGUCUGAUACUGGAAGGCUUGAAUCCGGGAGAGGGAUGUGGAAUUCCAGGUGUAGCGGUGAAAUGCGUAGAUAUCUGGAGGAACACCGGUGGCGAAGGCGGCAUCCUGGACCGGUAUUGACGCUGAUGCGCGAAAGCCAGGGGAGCAAACGGG
rnacentral:rRNA from 1 species